GAUGAACGCUGGCGGCGUGCCUAAUACAUGCAAGUCGAGCGAACAGACGAGGAGCUUGCUCCUCUGACGUUAGCGGCGGACGGGUGAGUAACACGUGGAUAACCUACCUAUAAGACUGGGAUAACUUCGGGAAACCGGAGCUAAUACCGGAUAAUAUAUUGAACCGCAUGGUUCAAUAGUGUAAGACGGUUUUGCUGUCACUUAUAGAUGGAUCCGCGCCGCAUUAGCUAGUUGGUAAGGUAACGGCUUACCAAGGCAACGAUGCGUAGCCGACCUGAGAGGGUGAUCGGGCACACUGGAACUGAGACACGGUCCAGACUCCUACGGGAGGCAGCAGUAGGGAAUCUUCCGCAAUGGGCGAAAGCCUGACGGAGCAACGCCGCGUGAGUGAUGAAGGUCUUCGGAUCGUAAAACUCUGUUAUUAGGGAAGAACAAAUGUGUAAGUAACUAUGCACGUCUUGACGGUACCUAAUCAGAAAGCCACGGCUAACUACGUG
rnacentral:rRNA from 1 species